GAUGAACGCUGGCGGCGCGCUUAACACAUGCAAGUCGAACGAUGAAGCCCAGCUUGCUGGGUGGAUUAGUGGCGAACGGGUGAGUAACACGUGAGUAACCUGCCCUUAACUCUGGGAUAAGCCUGGGAAACUGGGUCUAAUACCGGAUAGGAGCGUCCACCGCAUGGUGGGUGUUGGAAAGAUUUAUCGGUUUUGGAUGGACUCGCGGCCUAUCAGCUUGUUGGUGAGGUAAUGGCUCACCAAGGCGACGACGGGUAGCCGGCCUGAGAGGGUGACCGGCCACACUGGGACUGAGACACGGCCCAGACUCCUACGGGAGGCAGCAGUGGGGAAUAUUGCACAAUGGGCGCAAGCCUGAUGCAGCGACGCCGCGUGAGGGAUGACGGCCUUCGGGUUGUAAACCUCUUUCAGUAGGGAAGAAGCGAAAGUGACGGUACCUGCAGAAGAAGCACCGGCUAACUACGUG
rnacentral:rRNA from 1 species